CAAGUCAUCACUAAGUGGGAAAGCAUGUGGGAUUUCCAAAACAACCAGGAGGUUGGCUUAGAAGCAGCCAUCCUUUAAAGAAAGCGUAACAGCUCACUGGUCUAAAUAAGAGAUCCUGCGGCGAAGAUGUAACGGGGCUAAAGUGAUGCACCGAAGCUUAGGGUUCAGUCUUAUGACUGAGCGGUAGCGGAGCGUUCCGUAGGCCGUUGAAGCGGAAGGGUAACCGACCGUGGAGGUAUCGGAAGUGCGAAUGCAGACAUGAGUAGCGAUUAAGAGGGUGAGAUGCCCUCUCGCCGAAAUUCCAAGGGUUCCUGCUUAAAGCUAAUCUGAGCAGGGUAAGCCGGCCCCUAAGACGAGCCCGAAGGGGGUAGUCGAUGGGAACCACGUUAAUAUUCGUGGGCCUGGUGGUGUGUGACGGAUGGCGUAAAUUGUUCGGCCUUAUUGGAUUGGUCCGGGCAGUGAAGUUGUCCCAGGAAAUAGCCCCACCGUAUAGAC
rnacentral:rRNA from 1 species